rnacentral:sRNA from 1 species
AGAGGGCAAGCAAAACCUAUGUCUGGGGAGUUGAUAUAACCCGAUUUUCACCGAUUUUAUCUAUGUUUUAGGUAUACGAUUUUGAGUCUUUAUGUUACUUCUCGAGUCUUUUUAGUGUCUUUUCAGGUAUUUUAUGCAAUGGGACAACAA